rnacentral:lncRNA from 1 species
AAAAUACUCCAAGGAGACUCUCACAGGCCUGUCGUAUUAGGAUCCUCUAACACCCUAGGAUGCUUCCUGUGAUGCUCUUAGCCAUGGAUCCUCUCCUCUCAGAUUCUCCCAGUCGCUAUAUAGAUCCUCUGCUCACUCUGUUGCCCACAGGCCAUCAACCCUCUUUUUAAAGACCUCAAAAUCAAGUCCAGAUCGAAAUCUAAGCUCUGUUAGGACUCAGAUACCUUUCUGACCAUCCGAUCUCUUUCGCAUGCAUCCAUGGCCAU